AGUGAACGCUGGCGGUAGGCCUAACACAUGCAAGUCGAACGGCAGCACAGUAAGAGCUUGCUCUUACGGGUGGCGAGUGGCGGACGGGUGAGGAAUACAUCGGAAUCUACUUUUUCGUGGGGAUAACGUAGGGAAACUUACGCUAAUACCGCAUACGACCUACGGGUGAAAGCAGGGGAUCUUCGGACCUUGCGCGAUUGAAUGAGCCGAUGUCGGAUUAGCUAGUUGGCGGGGUAAAGGCCCACCAAGGCGACGAUCCGUAGCUGGUCUGAGAGGAUGAUCAGCCACACUGGAACUGAGACACGGUCCAGACUCCUACGGGAGGCAGCAGUGGGGAAUAUUGGACAAUGGGCGCAAGCCUGAUCCGGCCAUACCGCGUGGGUGAAGAAGGCCUUCGGGUUGUAAAGCCCUUUUGUUGGGAAAGAAAAGCAGCAGGUUAAUACCCCGCUGUUCUGACGGUACCCAAAGAAUAAGCACCGGCUAACUUCGUG
rnacentral:rRNA from 1 species